AAAGCCGGAUUAAUACCGCAUACGAUCUAUGGAUGAAAGCGGGGGAUCGCAAGACCUCGCGCUAUUGGGGUGGCCGAUGGCGGAUUAGCUAGUUGGUGGGGUAAAGGCCCACCAAGGCGACGAUCCGUAGCUGGUCUGAGAGGACGACCAGCCACACUGGGACUGAGACACGGCCCAUACUCCUACGGGAGGCAGCAGUGGGGAAUUUUGGACAAUGGGCGAAAGCCUGAUCCAGCAAUGCCGCGUGUGUGAAGAAGGCCUUCGGGUUGUAAAGCACUUUUGUCCGGAAAGAAAUCCUGGUGGCUAAUAUCCGCCGGGGAUGACGGUACCGGAAGAAUAAGCACCGGCUAACUACGUGCCAGCAGCCGCGGUAAUACGUAGGGUGCGAGCGUUAAUCGGAAUUACUGGGCGUAAAGCGUGCGCAGGCGGUUUUGU
rnacentral:rRNA from 2 species